rnacentral:rRNA from 1 species
CCUACGGGAGGCAGCAGUGGGGAAUUUUGGACAAUGGGCGCAAGCCUGAUCCAGCAAUGCCGCGUGAGUGAAGAAGGCCUUCGGGUUGUAAAGCUCUUUUGUCAGGGAAGAAACGGUGGGAGCUAAUAUCUCCUACUAAUG